rnacentral:rRNA from 1 species
GAUGAACGCUGGCGGCGUGCCUAAUACAUGCAAGUCGAGCGAACAGACGAGGAGCUUGCUCCUCUGACGUUAGCGGCGGACGGGUGAGUAACACGUGGAUAACCUACCUAUAAGACUGGGAUAACUUCGGGAAACCGGAGCUAUACCGGAUAAUAUAUUGAACCGCAUGGUUCAAUAGUGAAAGACGGUUUUGCUGUCACUUAUAGAUGGAUCCGCGCCGCAUUAGCUAGUUGGUAAGGUAACGGCUUACCAAGGCAACGAUGCGUAGCCGACCUGAGAGGGUGAUCGGCCACACUGGAACUGAGACACGGUCCAGACUCCUACGGGAGGCAGCAGUAGGGAAUCUUCCGCAAUGGGCGAAAGCCUGACGGAGCAACGCCGCGUGAGUGAUGAAGGUCUUCGGAUCGUAAAACUCUGUUAUUGGGGAAGAACAAAUGUGUAAGUAACUAUGCACGUCUUGACGGUACCUAAUCAGAAAGCCACGGCUAACUACGUG